CGUGUAGGCGGGAGAUCAAGUCAGAUGUGAAAUACCGCAGCUUAACUGCGGGGGCUGCAUUUGAAACUGAACUUCUUGAGUGAUGGAGAGGCAAGCGGAAUUCCUAGUGUAGCGGUGAAAUGCGUAGAUAUUAGGAGGAACACCAGUGGCGAAGGCGGCUUGCUGGACAUUAACUGACGCUGAGGCGCGAAAGCGUGGGGAGCAAACA
rnacentral:rRNA from 1 species